ensembl:lncRNA
CAGUCUGGCUGCCCACCAGUCCCCAUGGUGCCUGCCUGCUGUUCAGGACUGCUCUGUCUGGACUCUGGGCAUGCUGCAGGGCACCAUGCACUUAGGAGAGCUUGAAUAAAGAAGGGGGCUGAAAAUGGCCAAGCUCUGCUUCUGUGGAGAAAUCAUCACCUGUCCUAAUUUUUCCCCCUACCAUUGCAUCCUUCUGUUAUAAACGUGUAGGGGGAAGAUUUUCUCUUCUACUACUUGAAACAUACUCUUACAUUUAAUCACUAAUUCCUUGCUCUGCUCUGAUAGUUCUGCAACAUUUGUGCCUAACAAGAAAAAAAAAAUCUAUCAAUAUCUACAGCAAUACAAGUGACAAAUAAGCAGACAACUUCCGAGUCCAUCUUAUGCUGGUGAUCAGCCUUGGUGCUGUUAAGGUACUGUGGAACAGCAGCUUACUUUCUUUUUUUUCUUAUUCGUGUGAGAACCUGGAACUGCCUUAGCACAUCUUAAAUGUCACUCUUUCUAGACUACUCAUAUACACAGAUGAGUGGAGAUAAAUGCGUAGUAUCAUAAACACAAUACCAUCUGAAGGAAAAAGAAGACCUAGCAACACAUCUCUCCGCGUAGCACAGGUUGGCAGGGAUGGAUUAGCCCACUGUCAUAUAAUCUGUGGCGCUGCAUGGUUUCCUCUUCACUGGACCACUGAGAGACUCAACACUGCAAACUCAGUCUAAAACACUUUGGAAUAAAAUGUCCUAU